UAAUAAUAAGAACCCCAUUCUCCCUGAGCUGUGUUGAGAUUAAAUGAGAUAAUGUUUAUUAUGUGCUUUACAGACAUUAAGACACUCUGUAAAUGUAUGAGUAUUAAAAUAAACAUGUGAGGUCAUUAGGAUCUCAGUUGCUAAGGACAGGUUCACAUUACCUUUAAGGCCAGCUAGAAUCUUGGGAGGACCUCCUGGUAAGGAAUUCUGAGAAACCUGAGAAGUUGUUGGUUUUCAACUGCCAAGACACUCUUAGAGGAAUUUUACUCUGAGAAGAGGCUGGAGUUUUUGCUACCUGGAAAACUGGGAAAACAGUAGCAGCUGAAAGAGGAAAGCAGGUUAGAGUGUCAGAAAUAAGCUUGAGGAGAAGGCCAACAAAAAGUGAAGGAGAGUCUGUUUUUCCUCUGGGUGGCUGCAGAGACAAGUAGGCCAUUUGAGGCCUACCAAGCCUACUGAAGCCUGACCUCAGCCUGAAAAGCUGGCAGUUGGCAGAGUGAGAAAACAACCAAACUGAUUCAAAGCUGGAAGAGAAAUACAGAGAAAAUAAAGAAAUGGGAGUGCAGAGAGGUCAACUAACCUGUGGGUCCUAAGCAGAAGAACAAGACUUCAAUUGGGAUCUUUUGACUUCAAAAGCAAUGCUCCUGACAUGAUAGAAAGACUACUUUUCCAUUUAAUGAUUUAAAAGUGUAAUUACAACUGAAAAUAAAAGAUCUUUAAGAAAA